UAGCGGCGGACGGGUGAGUAACACGUGGGUAACCUGCCUGUAAGACUGGGAUAACUCCGGGAAACCGGGGCUAAUACCGGAUGGUUGUUUGAACCGCAUGGUUCAAACAUAAAAGGUGGCUUCGGCUACCACUUACAGAUGGACCCGCGGCGCAUUAGCUAGUUGGUGAGGUAAUGGCUCACCAAGGCAACGAUGCGUAGCCGACCUGAGAGGGUGAUCGGCCACACUGGGACUGAGACACGGCCCAGACUCCUACGGGAGGCAGCAGUAGGGAAUCUUCCGCAAUGGACGAAAGUCUGACGGAGCAACGCCGCGUGAGUGAUGAAGGUUUUCGGAUCGUAAAGCUCUGUUGUUAGGGAAGAACAAGUACCGUUCGAAUAGGGCGGUACCUUGACGGUACCUAACCAGAAAGCCACUGCUAACUACGUGCCAGCAGCCGCGGUAAUACGUAGGUGGCAAGCGUUGUCCGGAAUUAUCGGGCGUAAAGGGCUCGCAGGCGGUUUCUUAAGUCUGAUGUGAAAGCCCCCGGCUCAACCGGGGAGGGUCAUUGGAAACUGGGGAACUUGAGUGCAGAAGAGGAGAGUGGAAUUCCACGUGUAGCGGUGAAAUGCGUAGAGAUGUGGAGGAACACCAGUGGCGAAGGCGACUCUCUGGUCUGUAACUGACGCUGAGGAGCGAAAGCGUGGGGAGCGAACAGGAUUAGAUACCCUGGUAGUCCACGCCGUAAACGAUGAGUGCUAAGUGU
rnacentral:rRNA from 1 species